UCAAAUACAUCGCCCUCCGGCGUCGUCGUGAACUAUGACUCAUUCCGGCUAUAUAAUCGGCGAUUUCAUGCUCCUGAGCGCGGCGGUGAAGCCAUGGAUGGCGUCUCCAGUAUUUCUCGAGCUCGUGUUGCCAUUGUUCUACACAAAUCCUGUAACUAUUCCUUUUUUAUUUAUUAUUAUAUCAAUUACAUUUGAUUCAGCUCUAUUUAUGCUUGAAUCGUCUUUUAUCUGUAUAUGAAUAAUCCGUGUGUACAUAUAAAUUCCUACUCUGUCUCUAUCUUUGAUCUCUCUUUCUCAUUUCUCUUGGACUUUGAACUCUUGUUCUGUUGCCUUGUCCUGUAGAAGCAUGCUUGAAUCUGAUGUUGAAGAACUAAGUAGUGUUUGAAACCAUAGAGCAGAGGCUU
rnacentral:lncRNA from 1 species